GAAUAUGAGAAGAUUUAUUGCUAAGACCGUGAGAUGGUGGAGUCUGUGCUUGUGAUCUGCCGUGUGGCAAGAGCAAGAAACAGCAGUAACCAAGACCUUGUUCAGGUUGCCAUCGGCACUCGGUACUGCUAUGUACCUUCUGCAUGGAGACUGCAGAAACCUUGCGAAGCUCCAUGGUUGCUGCAAAGCUGAACUGCGAGUCUGCAUGGUGUGCAUGGUGGUGCCACUAGAUGUCCCUUGUCACCCAAGUGAUGUUGGUGGCUCAUCCCCAGUGCUAUAUGAUGUAGCACUGUAAAGAAAUCAGUGUUUAAAGCAUUCGAUAUAGAGAGAUGUUGUGGCUGUCUCAAAAAGAAGACUUGUGUUAUCCUCAGAAAGCUGACAUCUUGGCGAGGACAUCUGUGCCACUCAGCAUGCCUAUGCCCUUGCACAGCUUCACCUGGGCUUCUGUGGAGUGAUUCCUGCUCGCCCUUGUCCCCCAUGGUGCUCUGUGCACCUACCAUUGCUGUAUGAGUAGGGGGAUGCGCCUGUCCCCAUGCUGCCCUGAAAGCUUCUGUGCCGUGUUAUCAGCCCCAGGAUGUGUCGCUGCAGUGUGUGAUCGCACAGACCAUGCUGUUGAGUAUUCAGAGUCACAUACGCUCGCCUGAAUGACUGAAAUGAAGUAUUUGCUGCUUUCUACUUCAUUUAAACCUGCGGGAGCUGGUAGUGCUCAUCCUCCCCACACACUGAGGUAUCCACACGUGCCACUCACCAGCCUGGGGCUUCUUCCCCAAGCAAUGGCUGAGCAAAUCUCUUAAUAACAGAGCAACUACUCGCAGAUUAUUGUGAUCAUAAUUUGGCUGACAUAGCCUUUAUUACUAAUGGCAAUGCUGGAAAUGGAAAACCCAGCUUGAUGCUCAGCUCCCUGCUGGAAAGUAAUAAAAUAAAGAGGAACAAAAUCAGUGAGUGUAUUUGCUACCAAACCUUUGAAAAACACAAAAGUGGAACCCUGCCAAUGCUGUUGCUGGCGGUUUUUCAGACCAGAGCCUCUCUCCAAGGUAGGAUUAGAAGUGGAAGUGCAUUUGUAUCUAUGACAUUAGUAUCAUGUUGUUGUGUAUGAAUGGAGGAUUUGCAAUCAUUUGACAUCUAUUGGUUUCUAUUGCAAUUAUGGCGCGCUGCUUUUUUUUUUACCUUCAGCAUAUUCUUUAACAUCUUCCAGUCAUGGAAUAAGUAGAAGACAACUUCAGUUAUUGUCACAAUCAAACAAACAAAGACAAGUGUUUUUUUUUUUGCCAACUCAAAGAAUGGUCAAAAGAGGAGUUUCAUUGAAAAUGUUCUGAUAAAAAUGGAGGAUGUCGCAGCUUUUCAGUGAGGUCUUUGUUGACAACAUGAGCUGAGGGAGGUUGGCUUUUACAUAGCCUCUUUUGUCCAUCUUUGUGCAAUGGCAGAAUUCACAGCUAAAUUCUGAUGGCAGAAAUUUCUUGUCUGAGAAUGGUAUAUCAUAUAGAUUAAUAACAAAAAAACAUCCCCAGACCAUAGCUCGGAUUUUGAAUACCAGAAUGAGCCUUCAGUGCUAAGGAAUGAGCCUCCAGUGCUAAGAAUACAGAAAAAGCUAUUAAUUUUUUUUCUUAAACAUAAAGAGAACCACUUGAUAAAAUCAGUUGCAAAUAAAGGAGGAAUGUAAAUGCACUUUUCAAUUAUUUUUUUAUUUCCCUCCCUCUCUCUCUCUCUUUUUUUUUUUCCAUGUUAAUACUUCUUUGGAUCUUGGUUCAUAACCAUCCAGUAAUUAUAAUUAUAAAGGAAACUAACUUUUACCGUGCUAAUUAAACUGUAUGUCACAUAGGCAUUCGGGGAGAAUUUCCCAUGCUUUCUAGCAUGAAUGGAAGGAAAGAGCAGCGGUGCUCAAUUUAAACUCGAUUUUUUUCUGGUACCUUGCAAAAAGGCUUCAUUGUAUUUUGAUUAAUCCAUGCUUGGUCCACCUCGGAUGUUUCCAUGGAAACAGAAUUUUUUUUUUCUUGAUGGCAACUGUUAGGCUCAGGAAGGUUCCUCUCCACACAAAACCACUCUGGCUCCUAAAGAACUACUUGUUGGAAAUUUAAUGUGCAUAAACAAAACUCCCAAAUUCCUCCUCAGUAUUACGGCAUUAUUGUUGUCAACGCUAAUAGAGAAGUGUUUUCUUAAUGGUACAGAGUGGUGCCUUUUCACUCCACAAGAAAAUAGAAUGUUACUAUUCUUUCUGCUGCCAGAGAGCGCUUUUCUUGGUCCAGGAAAAAUUAGAUUGCAAACCUUUCAAAAUUAAAUUUUAAGAGUUCCAAUGUGUGAAUAUUAUCUAGUUCUAGGCAUAAAUCAUUUGCCUUAAUGGCUGUAAAAAAAUUAAUUAAACUUGCCUUGUCGAUUGGCAGUAAUUUGAAUAAAUUAUUCUUCUGUGUCAUAUUAUUAUUUUUUUUUUUCAAAGAAAGAAAGAAUCUCUUCAUACGCACUGCUAUUAUGGUUGGAAUAGGUUUUAAAAGUCAGCCAACAGGGGGAGCAUUUGUAUGGUAUUAUUAAUGUCACAAAGUGGUUGGAAACACGACCAUAUUUUUUUUGUCUAAAAUUAUUAGAAUUCUUGACCAUUUUUUAAAAUAGAAAAGGUUUUGGUUUGGAGUGUUUCAGCUUCUGAAAAAUCAAAUCUUGACUUCUGCUGACAGUACAAGAAGCUAUUUUAAAGUGAUGGUUGGGUUUGUUGUUUGGAAAAAUUGAAGUUUUAGAGCACAGAUGAAAUAUUAUUUUGGUUGAAAAGCAAUUUUUGGUUAAAAAUAUGUGGAGGAAACCCAUUCAAGCACCUCUAAUUGAAAUUUGACUUGUUAUUUUUAUUUCAGUGACAUCCAUA
ensembl:lncRNA